rnacentral:rRNA from 1 species
AGCGAACGCUGGCGGUAGGCCUAACACAUGCAAGUCGAACGGCAGCACAGGAGUGCUUGCUCUCUGGGUGGUGAGUGGCGGGCGGGUGAGGCAUACAUCGGAAUCUGCUCAGUCGUGGGGGAUAACGUAGGAAAACUUACGCUAAUACCGCAUACGACCUUCGGGUGAGAGAGGGGGGGCGCAAGACCUCUCGCGGUGGGAUGAGCCGGUGUCGGCUGAGCUAGUUGGCGGGGUAAUGGUCCACCAAGGCGACGAGCCGUAGCUGGUCUGAGAGGAUGAUCAGCCACACUGGAGCUGAGACACGGUCCAGGGUCCUACGGGAGGCAGCAGUGGGGAAUAUUGGACAAUGGGCGCAAGCCUGAUCCAGCCAUACCGCGUGGGUGAAGAAGGCCUUCGGGUUGUAAAGCCCUUUUGUUGGGAAAGAAAUCUUUCAGGCUAAUACCCUGGGAGGAUGACGGUACCCAAAGAAUAAGCACCGGCUAACUUCGUG